UUUGUACAUUAAAAUUGCGUCAUGAUGUAGGUUUGGUCCGAGUAUCACCAACAUUGGCAGUAAGCGAUCAUGUAUGUCUUCUAAUUUAUGAAACGGCUGCGGAGCCAAUGGACUCUUCAUAGGAGCUACUUUCCUUCCAGGCCAAGAAAGAACUGUAAGCUGUCAGACUUUCAUCACUCUGUUGUUGAAAGAAGAAGGAUAUCUUUGAUGGUACAAAAAAAAAAUCAUGAAUAAUUUUGUUACUCACUUCCUGUAGGCUGGCUCUAUAAUUGACUGAAUCAUUCUGCACAAUGCCAAUGCAAUAGGGCGUUGGUCGGUGAAACAAUGAUCUGGUAGACGACUGAAUAAAUUCUGAGCAAUUUCCCAUGCACCGACUUCUAACAAUGCCUCACAAAGUCCGAAUUUCUGAUUGGUACUAUAUUUGUCCUAAGCAAGAAAUGAUAAAAAUCAUUAAAUUCAACUAUAUGUA